UACGUGGGGUGCGAGCGUUAAUCGGAAUUACUGGGCGUAAAGUGUGCGCAGGCGGCGUCGCAAGUCGAGUGUGAAAGCCCCGAGCUUAACUUGGGAAUUGCGCUCGAAACUACGAUGCUGGAGUGUGGCAGAGGAAGGUGGAAUUCCACGUGUAGCGGUGAAGUGCGUAGAGAUGUGGAGGAACACCGAUGGCGAAGGCAGCCUUCUGGGCCAACACUGACGCUCAUGCACGAAAGCGUGGGGAGCAAACAGG
rnacentral:rRNA from 1 species